CAAACACACACACACACACACACAAAAAAAAAAAAAAACACCCUAAAAUAGUCGACCGUAAUUUCCGACCUACAAGCCGCGUCUUUUUUCACACGCUUUCAACCCUGUGAUGUGGACAAUUUGGGCAUUUUUUCAAACAGUCGCAAGGGGGCACUUGAGCGGAAAAGGUAAGAAUGAGACUGUGCCAAGGAAGUGAUUUUUACUAGCCAUGUUAGCGCUGCGCUAGCGUGUUUCUGCUGUGUUACUAAUACGUCUCAGUGAUAUUUACCGGUAGGUUUUAGCCCUGUUAGCGCUAGCUUUAGCUCAGUGCUAGCAUUAACACUAGCGUGUACCGCUAUGCUAGUGUGUUGCUGCUGUGUUACUGGUACGUCUCAGUGAUAUUUACCAAUAAGUUUUAGCCCUGUUAGCCCUAGUGCGGUGCUAGCAUCAGCGCUAGCGUUAACACUAGCGUAUACUGCUGUGCUAGCACGUCUCAGUGAUGUGUUUCUUUCGCCGUCGCCACAGCAUGUCAUCUCAGAUGAACGCAUACAUAUGUUUGGCACAAUUUUUACACCGGAUGCGCUUCCUGACGCAACCCUUCUCAGGGAGUGGAGGCCCCUGUGGGAUACGAACCCACAACCCCUGGUUUACCAAACCAGUGCUCUAACCAAGUUUUAGCCCUGUUAGCGCUAGCGGAGUGCUAACGUCAGCGCUAGCUUUAACUCAGCGCUAGCAUUAACUCUAACGCUGCUGUGUUACUGGUACGUCUCAGUGAUAUUUACCAGUAAGUUUUAGACCUGUUAGCGCUAGCGCAGUGCUAACGUCAGCGGUAGCUUUAACUCAGCGCUAGCAUUAACACUAGCAUGUACCACUAUGCUAGUGUUUUGCUGCUGUGUUACUGCUACGUCUCAGUGAUAUUUACCGGUAAGUUUUAGACCAGUUGGCGCUAGUGGAAUAUAUAUGCCAAGGAAGUGACUUUUACCGGUCCGGCCCUGUUAGGACUGCGCUAGCAUUAGCGCUAUGCUAGCGUGUUGCCGCUGUGAUACCGGCAUGUCUCAGUGAUAUUUACCGGUAAGUUUUAUUUUAACCAGCCCUGUUAGCACUCGCUUCAGCGAGGCGCUAGCGUUAGCACUAGCUUUAGCUCAGCGCUAGCAUUAACACUAGCGUGUACCGCUGUGCUAGCGUGUUGCUGCUGUGUUCCUGGUACGUCUCAGUGAUAUUUACCAGUAGGUUUUAGCCCUGUUUAUCCCUGUUAGCAUCAGCACGGUGAUACCAUUAACACUAGCAUUAGCGCCGCACUUGCGUUGAACUCUUUCCGUGUACCGUCUUUCUUUUGUGUUUCAAUAUGGGUUUUAAUGUGGGCACUUGCGGCUUUUACACCGGCGUGGCGUAUGUAUGUACCAAAUGGUAUUUCCUGCAGUGUGCUGGGUGAGGCUCGUAAUGAGGUGCGCUCUGUCGGCCGGGAAUUACCGGGACACUGGCUUUGCUGUUGGUUCUUCAAAAUAAGUACACAGCACGUACUGGGUGAUACGUGGGGGGGCUCUCGUUGGUGGUGCUGCAGAAGACGAUGGCGCAAAGGAAGAGUCCCAGGAGCAGCGUCAGCAGCCACAGCGGAAACUGGCCCUCAAUCAAAAAACCUCCGACUGGACACAAAAAGCAAGCGGAUUUAAAAGACCAAAAUACUGUCGACCCCCAAAAACGUAGGGAUGCAACUUUGCAUAACAGAUUCCGGACUGGAAGGUGAAGACACACGCGAGCGGGGCAGUGACCAGAUGGAGACAGUUCAGAGGUCGUCUCCAGUUCUUGUCUUCUCGGUCGUGAUCCACGACGGGGAUGCACAGCAGCAGCGCCACCUCCGC